GGUCAGCAGCAAGCAAAGCUGUUAGCAAAGCUGGGAGCAAAACAACAUCUGUGCCUCCCGCAGCUCUGCUGCUGUCAACGCUUCCAAGGAAAAUUUAAUUGAAAUUUUGUAGUUUUUUUUUUUUUUUUUUUUUUCCUGAAGCAGGAACAGAAGUUGGAAGGGUGGGGAUUUCUGGAUCUUCUGCCUGCUUCGUCCCAUCCUAUUGCUGCUGUACCACAGCCAGGCCGACCUGCAUUCACCACUGGGAUACUUGGGGUUGGGCAGCCCUGAAGCACAGCACUGGGAGCACUGCUGCUGCCCUGAGCAGCUCCCACCCAUCUGCAAACAGAAGAAGGAAACACGAAACCGAUGCGCCGCCGCGUCACAAAGCGCUUCAUUCAUUCAUCGCUAACGAACUCUGCUCAUCCUUCAUUAUUGAUGUGCCAGGAGUGGAAAGCAGCACGGUCUGCUGGCACAGCCCAGGCAGAGCAGACCCACCAGCACGGCGUGCCAAGGUCACCCGGCAACGCUGCCGGCCUUGAAGCGCUGCCAUUGCAGCCCCGUGAGGAAGAAGAGGAGGGAGGAAGGCAGCCCUGGGCCACGCGUUCUGCACCCCCAGAUAAUGGAGUGACCGCCUGCAAGGCGCUGGCACUGAGCACUGGGGCUGCUCUGUGCAAUGCUGGGUGCUGGUAUUGUGCAUCACCGCAUCCCUCACUGCUCCUCGGCUGCGCUCAGCACCGACCGACCGAGGUUGGGAACCACAGCAACCCUAUCAACAGCCAUAAGAGUGCACUGGGGGGAAGGCAGCUUUCCAGAUGAGCUCAGAACCCACCUGCAACGGGGCUUUGCUCUGUCCUUUUCCCACUGUUAAGGGGACGCGGCCCUCAUCCCUGCAGCAGUGAGGUGACCGCAAAGCAGCACGGAUUGCCUGCAACUGAGGGCAAGGCAUGGAUUCCUCUCUCUCUCUCAGGGAACACUUUCACCUCCACACAACACCUCAACCUGAAGCACAAGAGCCUUUUUCACGAGCUGAAGCUGAGAACACACCUCUUUGGCACAGGAAUCCUGAGCACAGCCCCCAGCUCCCACCCCCUGCACAGGUGGAGAAGUGCAUGCACGUCAAACCAAAGCAUGACAAAAAAAUCCGAAAUACUGACCUUAAAGCUCCAGUAGUUGGGCUGCUAACGACAAUAAAAUAAAAUGACAAAAACGAAGGAAAACA
rnacentral:lncRNA from 1 species